ACAAGCGCCAGUGAGAAAGGGAGAAAUGGAUGCGUUUUGUACAUUGAAAAAAAAAAUGAAAUUAAGUCACUUGCUGGUCCCCUUAGCGAUGAAACACAGAGGGGAAGAUUAAUACUGCAGCAUAACCUGUGCCUGCAUUCUCUGUCCUGCACCUCUUCCCAGAUAUUCCAGCUGCACUGAAACCCGUCUGUGCAUCAAAAUGAGAUUUUUCAAAAAACAUGUUCAGCUCUAAGAAUUCCUCCGAAUUCGUUACACUCCACCGCGCCAGGCUGCGCCUUGCUGGUCCCGGCGAAGAACACCUGAAAACAUUCUCGGGGCUGCACAGACGCUGUUCUUCUACAGCUGAACAAAUUAAAGCGGCGAGAUUUUGAUACCAGAAGCAUCUGUGAGAGCAGAAAAUAAACGCAAACCUAAAUUCAUACUGGGUUUGGGGGAAAAAAACACAAAACUGUUUACAAGGCGCCGGGAUCUCAGUGUUCAAACACCCCAUACACAGGCAGAGGUAUUUUUUUUAGGAUUAAAAGAUGAUGAUCCAAUGGGCUGAGGAUGUAAAACUCCUUUGGGGAAUGCGAUAAACUGCAAAAAGCCAGUGGCAACUCAUUCCUGAUUAACUCCUUUUUAUAAAGGGGCGGAAUGGAAGCGAACAGGGACCCGACGGGACAGGAACAUAUUUUAUUCAUUUAAUACAAAGCAGCUCCUUAAAAAAAAAAAAAAAGAUCUUUAAAAAGGCAGUUCAGAGCAUAACUCACGGGCCGGGGGGGAAGGCAAAAAAAAAAACCUGAUGGGGUGUGAGGUGAUGUCGCCGUCAUCCCUCGCUCCCCGGGCUGCGGGACCGGCCCGGCCCCCCGGGACCCCCCGAUGCUGGGGGACCCCCCUGCCCCCCCCGGCUCUCCCCGCUGACCUUAAAGGCGGAAUCAAUGAAAUGGUGUAAGCGCAGAGAGCACAAAGAGCUCCUGUGCUCGGCUCUGCAGAUCAUAACCAGAGAUGGGAAAGUAUUUACGGGACUCUCGGAGUGACUGGUCCAUCACUAGCGAAAAAAUAAUAUUUUUAACCGCAGGGAAGCAAGAGUUCAUGUAGAUUUACAAACGAGGAGAAAGUAACUGUAAGAACAUGUGUUAAAAAGGCAGCAGAAAGAAUUCCAUCGAUUUCCAUGAGAGGUGGAUCGCAUCCAGGAAGAAUGAGUCAACUUCAUUCCUUGGGCAGAGCUGGCCAGGCUGAGAGAAUUACACCAGAAAUGCCUCGGCAUCACCUCGUGUCCCCCCUCCGUGCGCUGCUGUCCCACUAAGGACCUCUCCAGUGUGGUUACGGCUCAGAACGAGGUGGGAAUUCUUUUAAAAACGGCUUUUAAUCCCCGGCAAAGGAUGGUUUGGGAAAUGUAUUCUCCCCGCGGUGUCACAUCAGCUGCAGAUAACUGCUGAGCCGAAAAGCCUCUCUCACACACACAAACACACCAUCCAUGGCAGGACAGGACAGCUCAGGGCUCAAGGAAGAUGAAAGGCAAAAUUUCCCCAUCACAGGGAUCCACUCCUCUGUUCUGGCUCCUAAACCCUGUUUCUCCUCUCCCCACAAUUUUGGUGUUGAGCCGUGCGAGGUUUUGGUUUUAUUUGCAGGGAGGAGGUGAAAACUCCUGCAAAGUUUCCUCCCCACUCCCUUCUCCCAGGGCAGGGGACUCUGCUCACCCAGAAGGAUGAAUUGAGAGAGAAACCUUUCUCCACUCACAAAUGCACAUUUAUUGUGGGCUCUUUUACAGGUGGAAGAACAAACUACUCGUUCCUUUCAGAGAUUUGGGUUGAAACAGCAAUGGACAAACACUGUCAGAGUCCUGCCCUUUGCUUUCAGACACCCCAAGUUUCACACAGACCCUCCCCCAUUCUUCAUUAACACAAAAAUAGCACUUCAAACAUCGAACAGGGAGCUCAUCAGGCUUUUCCACCUUGCUGGUGGCUUUUUAGCCCAGAAAUUCUCCAAAUGAGGGCUUGUGGCAGCCUCAGACGGAUGCCAGAAUUUUGUUGUGAGGCGCAGCCUGUGAUAAGCUCAUCAAUGAAUAGUUAAAAACCAAGCUCCAAAAGUGUGGUUAGAAAAUGAAAUGCAAAUAUAUACAAACUGGCCAAUGGUUCCUGUGGAUAUAAAUGCCUGCCUACCUCAUGAGUGCUAUUUUCCAGCCAGCUUUCCAAGCAGAGCAGCCCUUGCACUCCUGUAUCUACAAUUGUGCCAUUUAUAAGCCAGGAGCCCACCUCGCCCAGGCCCUGGUUCCUGCAGUGACUCAUGUUCCACUGGCUUAUUCCUGGGAAGAUCUGUGCUAAAACACAGCAAAGAGCAGAAUUUUGGGGAAGGAAUGGCCCAGUUGGGAAAGCACCAGACACUCUCACUAUUCCUUGUGUCAGAAAACCUGGAAAUGCUGCUUUGCAGCCUGUGGGAGAGAAAGGCUUUUACAACUGGCACUAAAAGAAAAUAUUGCACUGCCACCUGGGUCAAACAAAAGUCUGCGUGAAUGUGGAAACCCAGGGCACUGGGAAUAUUUCUCUGUCUGCUCUGGGGUGCCCUGACCCCCUGGGCAGCACUGACUUUGACCCUCAUUCAUGGAGAAAGUUCCCUAGACUUCAAGAUAGACUGGAAUCCACAAAAGUGUGAAAUUGGUUAUAGAGAGUGGUGUAAGUGUGUCACUUAGGUGAGGAAUUUAGGGUUUGGGAUUUUUAGUGUGUUGUGGAUGGGAGGGCACAGGGUGUUGUCCUGGGUUUCUUCUUCAUGCUUCUUCUUCCUCCUUCUUCAUGGGUUUGGGUGGCAUCUUGCAAUUGUGUGGAAAAAUCUACAUUGCAGCUCUUUGGGAUCAGUGAUUGGGUUAAAAGGGGAAAUAAUCUAGGUGUUGGUUCUUAAUUGGAUAGUUUAGCCUUAAAACACCUUGUAACAAGAGAUUGUUGGCCAUUUCUGUGGUGCUUUUCCAGCGUGCUGAGCCUGGUGUGGACAGUGUGCAAAACUUUAUAUAAAAUAAUAAUAAA